UACGUAGGGUGCGAGCGUUGUCCGGAAUUAUUGGGCGUAAAGGGCUCGUAGGCGGUUUGUCGCGUCGGGAGUGAAAUCCACUGGCUUAACUGGUGGCUUGCUUUCGAUACGGGCAGACUGGAGGUAUGCAGGGGAGACUGGAAUUCCUGGUGUAGCGGUGAAAUGCGCAGAUAUCAGGAGGAACACCGGUGGCGAAGGCGGGUCUCUGGGCAGUAAACUGACGCUGGAGGAGCGAAAGCGUGGGGAGCGAACAGG
rnacentral:rRNA from 1 species